GACGAACGCUGGCGGCGUGCUUAACACAUGCAAGUCGAACGGAAAGGCCCUGCUUUUGUGGGGUGCUCGAGUGGCGAACGGGUGAGUAACACGUGAGUAACCUGCCCUUGACUUUGGGAUAACUUCAGGAAACUGGGGCUAAUACCGGAUAGGAGCUCCUGCUGCAUGGUGGGGGUUGGAAAGUUUCGGCGGUUGGGGAUGGACUCGCGGCUUAUCAGCUUGUUGGUGGGGUAGUGGCUUACCAAGGCUUUGACGGGUAGCCGGCCUGAGAGGGUGACCGGCGACAUUGGGACUGAGAGAGGGCCAAGGCGCCGACGGGAGGCAGAGGUGGGGAACAUUGCGCAAUGGGCGGAAUCCUGAUGCAGCAACGCCGGGGGCGGGAUGACGGCCUACGGGUUGUAAACCGCUUUGGCCUGUGACGAAGCGUGAGUGACGGUAAUGCGUAAAGAAGCACCGGCUAACUACGUG
rnacentral:rRNA from 1 species